GAUGAACGCUAGCGGCAGGCCUAAUACAUGCAAGUCGAGGGGCAGCAUGAGUAGCAAUACUUGAUGGCGACCGGCGCACGGGUGCGUAACACGUAUGCAACCUACCUCAAACAGGGGAACAACGCUGAGAAAUUGGUGCUAAUACCCCAUAACAUUGUCGAGCGGCAUCGCUUGACAAUUAAAGCUCCGGCGGUUUGAGAUGGGCAUGCGGGACAUUAGCUAGUUGGUGAGGUAACGGCUCACCAAGGCGACGAUGUCUAGGGGUUCUGAGAGGAUUGUCCCCCACCCUGGAACUGAGACACGGACCAGACUCCUACGGGAGGCAGCAGUAGGGAAUAUUGGUCAAUGGGCGCAAGCCUGAACCAGCCAUGCCGCGUGAAGGAUGACGGCCCUAGUGGUUGUAAACUUCUUUUGUAAUAGAGAAAACUUGGGUACGUGUACCCAACUGAUAGUACAUUACGAAUAAGGAUCGGCUAACUCCGUGCCAGCCGCCGCUGUAAUAC
rnacentral:rRNA from 1 species